UUGUUGUGAGCUUAACAGUGCGCCAGGCUGCAUUACAUGUGUGGAAGACCAUAGUUGCAAAUACUCCCAAGACUCUGAAGGAAAUAAUGCCAGUUUUGAUGAAUACUUUAAUUACUUCUCUUGCAUCAUCAUCCUCUGAAAGGAGACAGGUUGCUGGACGAUCACUUGGUGAGCUUGUUAGAAAGCUUGGCGAAAGAGUUCUACCUUUAAUCAUUCCAAUUUUAUCACGAGGGCUAAAAGACCCUAAUGCUAGCAGAAGACAAGUGAGGCUUUUGACCUUUAAAUUCUACUUUGUGGAUCUUAUUUUC